GACGAACGCUGGCGGCGUGCCUAAUACAUGCAAGUAGAACGCUGAAGGAAGGAGCUUGCUCUUUCUGGAUGAGUUGCGAACGGGUGAGUAACGCGUAGGUAACCUGCCUGGUAGCGGGGGAUAACUACUGGAAACGAUAGCUAAUACCGCAUAAAAUUGAUUAUUGCAUGAUAGUAAAUUAAAAGGUGCAAUUGCACCACUACCAGAUGGACUUGCGUUGUAUUAGCUAGUUGGGGAGGUAACGGCCCACCCAGGCGACGGUACAUAGCCGGCCUGAGAGGGGGAUCGGCCACACGGGGACUGAGACACGGGCCAGACUCCUUACGGGGGCAGCAGUAGGGAAUCUUCGGCAAUGGACGGAAGGCUGGACGAGCAACGCCGCGUGGGUGAAGGAGGGUUUCGGGUCGUAAAGCUCUGUUGUAAGGGAAGGAAGAGUGGUAGAGUGAAAAGUGCACACUGUGACGGUAUCUAACCAGAAAGGGACGGCUAACUACGUG
rnacentral:rRNA from 1 species